rfam:Camelus ferus unplaced genomic scaffold scaffold644, whole genome shotgun sequence.
GUGGGCAUAUCUCAGUGGUAAAGUGUGUGCUUAGCAUGCACGAGGUCCUGGGUUCAAUCCCCAGUACCUCUA